GCAUUUGGUGGUUCAGUGGUAGAAUUCUGCCUGCCAUGCGGGAGGCCGGGGUUCGAUUCCCGGCCAAUGCA
rnacentral:tRNA from 1 species